UUGUGGGGUGCUCGAGUGGCGAACGGGUGAGUAACACGUGAGUAACCUGCCCUUGACUUUGGGAUAACUUCAGGAAACUGGGGCUAAUACCGGAUAGGAGCCCCUGCUGCAUGGUGGGGGUUGGAAAGUUUCGGCGGUUGGGGAUGGACUCGCGGCUUAUCAGCUUGUUGGUGGGGUAGUGGCUUACCAAGGCUUUGACGGGUAGCCGGCCUGAGAGGGUGACCGGCCACAUUGGGACUGAGAUACGGCCCAG
rnacentral:rRNA from 1 species